rnacentral:tRNA from 2 species
GCAGCAGUAGCGUAGUGGUUACGCACCACCUUGCCAAGGUGGCCUACACGAGUUCGAAUCUCGCCUGCUGCU